rnacentral:rRNA from 1 species
GGAGUUGAGCAUAUGCGCGAGUCAUUGGGACUAGCUAAUCCUAAAGGCGUAAUGUAAAUGAAAUCAUAUGCAUAUACUAUAUGUAUAGUACAUGAGGGAAGAUGGGUACCGUCUAAGGCUGCCCCGCACUCCCGGGGCGUUUCAUUCGUACUGUACGAUGAGGCGCUCUCAUAGCGUAUAUGCUCUUACCCGAAAGAUAGUGAACUAUACUUGAUCAGGACGAAGUCAGGGGAAACCCUGAUGGAGGUCCGCAGCGAUUCUGACGUGCAAAUCGAUCGUCGGAAUUGAGUAUAGGGGCGAAAGACCAAUCGAACUAUCUAGUAGCUGGUUCCCGCCGAAGUUUCCCUUAGGAUAGCUGGCAUUCAAACCACAAAUAAAUCGAUAUAGUUUUACUAUAUCAAUCAUUACGCUAAUAGCAUCUGGUAAAGCGAAUGAUUAGAGGCAUUGGGGACGAAACGUCCUCAACCUAUUCUCAAACUUUAAAUGGGUGAGAACGAUGACUUACAUAAGUGAAGUCACACACUAUAAUAUAUUAUAUUAUAAAUGUUGUAUACGAAUGCUAAGUGGGCCAUUUUUGGUAAGCAGAACUGGCGCUGUGGGAUGAACCAAACGUUGAGUUAAAGUGCCUAAAUGUACGCUCAUCAGAUACCACAAAAGGUGUUAGUAACUAAAGACAUUAGGACGGUGACCAUGGAAGUC